rnacentral:lncRNA from 1 species
UGUUGUUUAAAUAAUUGUGAUAUUUUUUUGUAUAUAGCUCUCAUUAUUAAUUUCUUGUAAUUAUUUAAAAUCUCUAUUAUAAGAGAAAAUUUUUUAUUUGUACUUAUAAAUUUUUGUAUAUAUAUGACUUAUUUGUAACACAAAAAAUAUAGUGGAAAUAAAGUAAAUAUUUUUUCAUAAAUUUCUAUAUGGUAUUAAAGUAGAGUAAGAGUAUUUUAGGGUUUUAUUUUUAGGAUUUCUUUUAAAAUCCUAAAAUCUUCUCAUCAAUCUCCCAAAAUAGAGGGAUAGUUUCACCAGGCGGCCGCCCACCCUACUCCAGCGAUUAUCUCCACCUUACCCAACUUGUUUGCUCUACCAGACUGUAGUAGUUCAAGCGACAUUUCACACGCAGCUCUCUGGUUCGUGUUCUCAACUCAUCUGGUUCGCAUACCCGACUCAUCUGCUCCUUCGCACGCAACCCUUUGCUUGCUCCGUCCGCCUGCAGUGGUUCACGCGGCAUUUCGUGUGCAAUCCUCUACUUUGCAUUUCAAUCCGUCCACUUGCACUUAUUCACGCUGCCUCCUUCUCUGGUUCGUGCACACCCGACCUAACCCGAUCUGCUUUCCUGGGAUCCACACACCCGUAUGACGCCAAGCUCUUUGGUUCGUGCUUCGUGCUUCGAGCUGCUCUGUUCGUUCAAGACACCAGUUUGUGCACAAACAAGCUUCGCAGAUCUGGCUUCGCCGCUUGACCUGAUCAGUUUUUUUGGGAUUCGUGCGGCCGUGUGCGAUUCUUGUCCUCCCAACUGUGAAUGGUCGCGAUUUGCCCUCCCUUGGCACGCGAAUAACAUUUGUUUCCGUAGCCUAAGUGAGCUGUUGUGGUGAGCCGCUUCCAAGUUGAUCUUAGCCAUAUUUUGGAGCCAAUCUGAGCUAUUUUUUCUGUUCAACAAAUGUGGUUC